UGUACCAGAGACAUCACCUUGCAGCUCUCACCUGGUGUCCCACUGAAGCUUAGCAGGGUUGAGCCUGGUCAGUACCAGGAUGGGAGACCUCCUGGGGAAAACUAAGGUUGCUGCUGGAA
rnacentral:rRNA from 1 species